CACGUAGGGGGCAAGCGUUGUCCGGAUUUAUUGGGCGUAAAGAGCUCGUAGGCGGCUCGGUAAGUCGGGUGUGAAACCUCCAGGCUCAACCUGGAGACGCCACUCGAUACUGCCGUGGCUAGAGUCCGGUAGAGGAGCGUAGAAUUCCUGGUGUAGCGGUGAAAUGCGCAGAUAUCAGGAGGAAUACCAGCGGCGAAGGCGGCGCUCUGGGCCGGUACUGACGCUGAGGAGCGAAAGCGUGGGGAGCAAACAGG
rnacentral:rRNA from 1 species